CCAAAAUAGUCAAUAUGCUAGCAGAGCUUAAAAUGCUCCAAAACCACAGGCUUGGAUAAUAUUCCUACAAGGUUUCUUAUAGUAUCACGUUUUAAGGUUGGGUUUGAAGGUAAAGCAGCCAUGUACAUCUUCAUCAGACAGUCUCUGUGGGACACUGGAGGGGUUCUACUGUCUAGACCCAACUAAGUAUGGUUGUAGAGCAGCCCAGAGACACAGCAGCUGUAAACCUGGUCAAUACAUCAGAAAAACAGGAACAACAUCUACAGAUACUGUGUGUUCUGACUGUACUGGUGAUACCUAUUCAGAUGGAUCAUUUACAUCCUGCCAGACAUACACAGAAUGUGAAUCCUUGGGACUUCAGGAAAUUAAACCAGGAUCUCCUUGGUGGGAUUCAGAGUGUGGACCACAACUAUCCCAUUCCACAGCUAGAAGCAGAAUUAGUGCUGUGGCAUCCAUGACAGUUGCCAUGAUAUUAGCUGGAGCUGUUUUCUAAUUAA